rnacentral:rRNA from 1 species
GACGAACGCUGGCGGCGUGCUUAACACAUGCAAGUCGAACGGUAAGGCCCUUCGGGGUACACGAGUGGCGAACGGGUGAGUAACACGUGGGUGAUCUGCCCUGCACUUCGGGAUAAGCCUGGGAAACUGGGUCUAAUACCGGAUAGGACCCUGGGAUGCAUGUCCUGGGGUGGAAAGCUUUUGCGGUGUGGGAUGGGCCCGCGGCCUAUCAGCUUGUUGGUGGGGUGAUGGCCUACCAAGGCGACGACGGGUAGCCGGCCUGAGAGGGUGACCGGACACACUGGGACUGAGGUACGGCCCAGACGCCUACGGGAGGCAGCAGUGGGGAAUAUUGCACAAUGGGCGCAAGCCUGAUGCAGCGACGCCGCGUGAGGGAUGUCGGCCUUCGGGUUGUAAACCUCUUUCAGCACCGACGAAGCGCAAGUGACGGUAGGUGCAGAAGAAGGACCGGCCAACUACGUGCCAGCAGCCGCGGUAA